rnacentral:rRNA from 1 species
GAACUGAAGAGUUUGAUCAUGGCUCAGAUUGAACGCUGGCGGCAGGCCUAACACAUGCAAGUCGAGCGGAUGAAGGGAGCUUGCUCCUGGAUUCAGCGGCGGACGGGUGAGUAAUGCCUAGGAAUCUGCCUGGUAGUGGGGGAUAACGUCCGGAAACGGGCGCUAAUACCGCAUACGUCCUGAGGGAGAAAGUGGGGGAUCUUCGGACCUCACGCUAUCAGAUGAGCCUAGGUCGGAUUAGCUAGUUGGUGGGGUAAAGGCCUACCAAGGCGACGAUCCGUAACUGGUCUGAGAGGAUGAUCAGUCACACUGGAACUGAGACACGGUCCAGACUCCUACGGGAGGCAGCAGUGGGGAAUAUUGGACAAUGGGCGAAAGCCUGAUCCAGCCAUGCCGCGUGUGUGAAGAAGGUCUUCGGAUUGUAAAGCACUUUAAGUUGGGAGGAAGGGCAGUAAGUUAAUACCUUGCUGUUUUGACGUUACCAACAGAAUAAGCACCGGCUAACUUCGUGCCAGCAGCCGCGGUAAUACGAAGGGUGCAAGCGUUAAUCGGAAUUACUGGGCGUAAAGCGCGCGUAGGUGGUUCAGCAAGUUGGAUGUGAAAUCCCCGGGCUCAACCUGGG